UACGGGGGGAGCAAGCGUUGUUCGGAUUUACUGGGCGUAAAGGGCGCGUAGGCGGCCAUUCAAGUCGGGGGUGAAAGCCUGUGGCUCAACCACAGAAUUGCCUCGAUACUGUUUGGCUUGAGUAUGGCAGAGGUCAGUGGAACUGCGAGUGUAGAGGUGAAAUUCGUAGAUAUCGCAAGAACACCAGUGGCGAAGGCGGCUGACUGGGCCAUUCUGACGCUGAGGCGCGAAAGCGUGGGGAGCAAACAGGG
rnacentral:rRNA from 1 species